AUCUAUGGCCAUGCUACCCUGAACAAGCCCAAUUAUAUCUGAUCUUGGAAGCUAAGCAGGGUCGGGCCUGGUUAGUACUAGGAUGGUAGACCACCUAGGAAGACAAGGUGCUGUAAGUG
ensembl:rRNA 5S_rRNA 5S ribosomal RNA